UUUAAAUACAAUCAUAAGUUUCCAUGCUCAACUUUGACCGUUCGUCUUAUUUAAAAUUUUUUAUGAUUAUUAUUUUUUUAUGACAUGAUAAAAUAUGAAUAGUACUUUAUACGUGACAUGUUUUUAAUUUUUUUUUUAAAAAUUUCAAAUAAAAAGGAUGGUCAAAGUUGUGCACAAAAAAUCAUGGCUGCACUUAAA
rfam:Oryza rufipogon genomic scaffold, chr09